UACGGAGGGUGCAAGCGUUACUCGGAAUCACUGGGCGUAAAGAGCGCGUAGGCGGGAUAGCAAGUCAGAUGUGAAAUCCUAUGGCUUAACCAUAGAACUGCAUUUGAAACUGUUAUUCUAGAGUAUGGGAGAGGUAGGUGGAAUUCUUGGUGUAGGGGUAAAAUCCGUAGAGAUCAAGAGGAAUACUCAUUGCGAAGGCAGCUUACCAAGCUACUUCUGACGUUGAGGCACGAAAGCGUGGGGAGCAAACAGG
rnacentral:rRNA from 1 species